AAUGAAUAUUCCUCCAUGAAUAGUAAUGCAUGUCUGGAGGCCUUUUUAGGAGGACUAUUAGCAUAAGUAGCAUACCUUUCUUUUUAUAAUUUAGACAUAGAGGAGGAUUUAUAUACCCUGUUCUCACCCAUAGAUCCUCUUUCCUUUGUGCCUUGCCACCUGUUCUCAUCCUGCAUGUAAUUCAAACCAAAUGAAAUGGUGCAGCCCUACUGGAAUAUAAUGAAAACUUAAGGUUCUGCUGUAUGUGCUUUUGUACAUCUACUUUUAUUGUUUAUUUUUUAAAUGAAGAUCUCUAGUUACCCCUACUUUAAAAGGCAUGUAAUGGCAUAAAUCAUUAGUGGAUAAAUUAGGAAUGGUCAAACCCACUGGGGAUUGUUAUGGUCUUACAUAUUUGCCUCAUAUAGACUUAAAAGCAUUUUUUGAGCAGAAGCAAUCAAAAUUAAUUGAUUGAUCUAAGACUUUAGUCUUUGUGCAUGAGCUCCAUAUCAGUAUCUAUGCAUGUAAUGUAGGGAGGUGGGAUCCAGCUUUAUUAAAAAUGCUGCAGCCAGUUUGGUCAAACAAGAGCAUGGCAGGAGAAGUAGAGGAAAAAGCACUUCUAUGCCUUAUCUUCAUAGUUAGAGCAGACGGAUGUGUUUACGAUAUAAAGGUAGACCUAAGCAUUGUUUUGGCCUACUUGUCAUGGCAUUAAUGAAUCAUUUGAAAUGGACUGAACUGGAGUAUACACAAUCCAAAAGGAGUUUUCUACAUAUCCAUGUUUGUACCUACACAUGUUCGGAUAUUGUAUGCUCUUGGCAAAAAUGUUUAUCUCCCUCUCACAACAUACACACAUUUUGCUUUGCCUUAUUCUCCUGUUUGUUUAGCCUUUUGUUGAUUUUUUACAAUUAAUUUCCUUCCUUUUUUUUUUCAUCUUUGGAAUUCCUUCCAUUUAGGUUUAAUUCAUUUCACUUGCCACAUCAUUAAUUUGGCUCUUGUUGAUUUUGUGUUGAGCUCCAUGAAGCUACCAUUUGUAUUUUAUUAAUUGAUUGUGUUUAUGGACAUGAUUGUUAUCUGCCAAUGUGCGAGAUCAUUUGCUCUACAAUAUGUAUGUUCAAUCUAG
ensembl:lncRNA